rnacentral:rRNA from 1 species
GACGAACGCUUGCGGCGUGCCUAAGAAAUGCAAGUCGAGCGAGAACCAACCUUCGGGUGAAGUUCUAGCGGCGAACGGUCGCGUAACACGUAAGCAACCUGCCCUAAAGUUGGGGAUAGCCCUCCGAAAGGAGGAUUAAUACCGAAUGUGGACAUAUUUUCGCAUGUUUAUAUGUCUAAAGCAGCGAUGCGCUUUAGGAUGGGCUUGCGGCCUAUCAGCUAGUUGGUGUGGGUAACGGCCUACCAAGGCGACGACGGGUAGCUGGUCUGAGAGGAUGGUCAGCCGGAUUGGGACUGAGACACGGCCCAGACUCCUACGGGGGGCAGCAAUUAGGAAUCUUGCGCAAUGGGCGAAAGCCUGACGCAGCGACGCCGCGUGACUGAUGAAGUCUUUCGGGAUGUAAAGGUCUUUUGCAGGGGACGAAGGAAGUGACGGUACCCUGCGAAUAAGCCCCGGCUAACUACGUG